rnacentral:rRNA from 1 species
GAAUAUUGCACAAUGGGGGAAACCCUGAUGCAGCCAUGCCGCGUGUGUGAAGAAGGCCUUCGGGUUGUAAAGCACUUUCAGUGGUGAGGAAGGCUACGUCGUUAAUAUCGGCAUAGAUUGACGUUAGCCCCAGAACAAGCACCGGCUAACUCCGUGCCAGCACCCGCGGUAAUACGGAGGGUGCAAGCGUUAAUCGGAAUUACUGGGCGUAAAGCGUACGUAGGCGGCUUGAUAAGCAGGAUGUGAAAGCCACGGGCUCAACCUGGGAAUGGCAUUUUGAACUGGCAGGCUUGAGUUCUGAAGAGGGUGGUAGAAUUUCCAGUGUAGCGGUGAAAUGCGUAGAUAUUGGAAGGAAUACCGGUGGCGAAGGCGGCCACCUGGUCAGAAACUGACGCUGAGGUACGAAAGCGUGGGGAGCAAACAGG